CGACCGGCGCACGGGUGAGUAACGCGUAUGUAAUCUGCCUUGUACAGAGGGAUAGCCCAGAGAAAUUUGGAUUAAUACCUCAUAGUAUUACUGAAUCGCAUGAUUUGGUAAUUAAAGCUCCGGCGGUACAAGAUGAACAUGCGUGACAUUACCUAGUUGGUAAGGUAACGGCUUACCAAGGCCACGAUGUCUAGGGGUUCUGAGAGGAUGAUCCCCCACACUGGUACUGAGACACGGACCAGACUCCUACGGGAGGCAGCAGUGAGGAAUAUUGGUCAAUGGACGCAAGUCUGAACCAGCCAUCCCGCGUGAAGGAUGACUGCCCUAUGGGUUGUAAACUUCUUUUAUAUGCAAAUAAACCUACUUUCGUGAAAGUAGCUGAAGGUAGCAUAUGAAUAAACACCGGCUAACUCCGUGCCAGCAGCCGCGGUAAUACGGAGGGUGUAAGCGUNAUCCGGAUUUAUUGGGCUUACAGGGUACGU
rnacentral:rRNA from 1 species